rfam:Streptomyces sp. TSRI0281 scaffold1, whole genome shotgun sequence.
CGGUGCUUGCCUCACCCGACAUCGAGUGAGCGGAUUAAUCAGAUUCGCCUACUUAUACGGGGCUCCUUCACGGCGCUCCGCCCCCGUCCCGGAGGU